rnacentral:tRNA from 1 species
AUUUUAAUAGUUUAAAUAAAAUAUUGAUCUGUGGAGUCAAGGAUAUGAAGAAAUUCAUUUAAAAUU